rnacentral:lncRNA from 1 species
AGAAUCUGUAUUCCUACUAAGCUGAAAUGAACUUUACUUAUUUCAACCUAAAUGAAGCAGUUUGCAAGUAAAUUCUGAAACUGGAAAGUGCCACAGUCCACUAGGGAAUUAAGUUCCCAGAUCCCCUUCACCUUCCAGCUCCCUUCUGGCAUCCUGCCCUGAAUCCCUGCAAUCGCUCUUUCUUAAGUCAAUGACCUUUUCUAUGAAUCCGUCCUGUCCCUCUUCAUUCCCACAUCCCUUAAAAUGCGUAUGCCACCCUUUUCUUGAAGCUCCUUCCUCUCAGGGACAUCUUCCCAUCACUUUGACUUCCUUAUGUGGUUUCUCUUCCUUGAUCUAGAUGUUGGUGUUCCCCUAGAAUCUGUCAGCAACUGUCCUUCUGAGAGUCACAGACUGUCCUAUGAUUUCAUCCUUUGUUGUGAAUUCCACCCCAAGUUCUUGGGGAAAGUCAACCACUGUUUCUACAACUAAAUGUAUAUGCCAACCACCAUUUUCUUCUCACUUUUCCAGCUAUUUAUUGUCAUAUGGCCCAGCAUGUGUCAAUGGUUAAAUAAAUGGAAUAAAAAUCGUGGAGAAGAGGAAGAGCAGUUGAUUGAAGUACCAAAGACUGCCUGGGUCAAACUUCAGAAUAAGCCUUUCAUAAUAUGAAACAAAAGAAGGUGAGUAAUCAUUUAAUUGGUUAUUUUUUUAACAUUUUAUUUACUUAU